rnacentral:misc_RNA from 1 species
GAUGAAGAACGUAGCGAAAUGCGAUACUUGGUGUGAAUUGCAGAAUCCCGUGAACCAUCGAGUCUUUGAACGCAAGUUGCGCCUCAAGCCAUUAGGUUGAGGGCACGUCUGCCUGGGCGUCACAUAUCGUUGCCUGAUGCCAGUUUCCUCGUGAUGGGUGACUGUGCAGGGCGAAUGAUGGCUUCCCGUGAGCAUUGUUGCCUCAUGGUUGGUUGAAAAUUGAGUCCUUGGUAGGGAGCGCCGUGAUAGAUGGUGGUUGAGUGACGAACGAGACCCAAUCAUGUGAGACCCCUACCGAAUUUGGCCUUCAUGACCCACAUGCGUCUUUGGAACGCCCAUGACGAGACCUCAGGUCAGGCGGGGCUACCCGCUGAGUUUAAGCAUAUCAAUAAGCGGAGGA